AUUGAACGCUGGCGGCAUGCCUUACGCAUGCAAGUCGAACGGCAGCACGGGGGCAACCCUGGUGGCGAGUGGCGAACGGGUGAGUAAUGCAUCGGAACGUGCCCAGUAGUGGGGGACAACCAGUCGAAAGAUUGGCUAAUACCGCAUACGACCUAUGGGUGAAAGCGGGGGACCGUAAGGCCUCGCGCUAUUGGAGCGGCCGAUGUCUGAUUAGCUAGUUGGUGAGGUAAAAGCUCACCAAGGCGACGAUCAGUAGCUGGUCUGAGAGGACGACCAGCCACACUGGGACUGAGACACGGCCCAGACUCCUACGGGAGGCAGCAGUGGGGAAUUUUGGACAAUGGGCGCAAGCCUGAUCCAGCCAUGCCGCGUGCGGGAAGAAGGCCUUCGGGUUGUAAACCGCUUUUGGCAGGAACGAAACGGCGACCUCUAAUACGGGUCGUUAAUGACGGUACCUGCAGAAUAAGCACCGGCUAAUCACGUGCCAGCAGCCGCCGUAAAAC
rnacentral:rRNA from 1 species